rnacentral:rRNA from 1 species
AUUGAACGCUGGCGGCAGGCCUAACACAUGCAAGUCGAACGAGUGGCGGACGGGUGAGUAAUGUCUGGGAAACUGCCCGAUGGAGGGGGCUAACUACUGGAAACGGUAGCUAAUACCUAAUAUCAUCUGCAGUGCCCAGAGGGGAUGAGCUAGUAGGUGGUGUAACGGCGCACCUAGGCGACGAGCCCUAGCUGGUCUGAGAGGAUGACCAGCCACACUGGAAAUGAGACACGGUCCAGACUCCUACGGGAGGAAGAAGUGGGGAAUAUUGCACAAUGGGCGCAAGCCUGAUGCAGCCAUGCCGCGUGUAUGAAGAAGGCCUUCGGGUUGUAAAGUACUGUCAGCGGGGAGGCGUUACCCGCAGAAGAAGCACCGGCUAACUCCGUGCCAGCAGCCGCGGUAAUUC